CCCUGACCGAGCAACGCCGCGUGGAGGAUGACGGUUUUCGGAUUGUAAACUCCUUUUUCUCAGGGAAGAGCGAGGACGGUACCUGGGGAAUAAGUCACGGCUAACUACGUGCCAGCAGCCGCGGUAAUACGUAGGUGGCAAGCGUUAUCCGGAAUUACUGGGCGUAAAGCGCACGCAGGUGGCUGCUUAAGUCUGACGUGAAAGCUCCUGGCUUAACUGGGAGAGGUCGUUGGAGACUGGGCGGCUUGAGGCGAGGAGAGGGGUGUAGAAUUCCCGGUGUAGUGGUGGAAUGCGUAGAGAUCGGGAGGAAUACCAGUGGCGAAAGCGGCACCCUGGCCUUGGCCUGACGCUCAGGUGCGAAAGCGUGGGGAGCGAACGGGAUUAGAUACCCCGGUAGUCCACGCGGUAAACGAUGAAUACUAGGUGUAGGUGGUCUCAAAACUAUCUGUACCGCAGCUAACGCGAUAAGUAUUCCGCCUGGGGAGUACGACCGCAAGGUUAAAACUCAAAGGAAUUGACGGGGG
rnacentral:rRNA from 1 species